CAGUAGCCGCGGUAAUACGUAGGUGGCAAGCGUUGUCCGGAAUUAUUGGGCGUAAAGGGCUCGCAGGCGGUUUCUUAAGUCUGAUGUGAAAGCCCCCGGCUCAACCGGGGAGGGUCAUCGGAAACUGGGAAACUUGAGUGCAGAAGAGGAGAGUGGAAUUCCACGUGUAGCGGUGAAAUGCGUAGAGAUGUGGAGGAACACCAGUGGCGAAGGCGACUCUCUGGUCUGUAACUGACGCUGAGGAGCGAAAGCGUGAGGAGCGAAUAGGAUUAGAUACCCGAGUAGUCCCUGUCUCUUAUAC
rnacentral:rRNA from 1 species